AGAGCAGCUGUGGCCAACACACACCUUUGACGUCCGCAGGACCCCUAGUGACUUCUCUCUCGCAGUUCAGGAACCUGACUGAGAAUAGACCCCAUUCCAUUGUUACCUUUGUUUCCCCCCAACUUAUAAGAAACUAGGGGGCUUUCCUUGGCAUCCUGAUUCAAUGCAGCUACCCAAAUGAAAAGAAUACACUUUAUUUGGGCAGACAGGAAAACACUCCACCUUCCCUUAUUGCAGCCACCCUACUUCGUUCCUAAGCCAACUCCAACUCAGAUCAAAUGAUUACGAAAAAACCUGGUCAUUUACAGGAAACAUUACUCAAGAACAAAUUUUCUAGUUUCUCUUUCAUAAGCGAAAUCACCACAAAGCCCAGCUCAAGUUCGAGUACCUCCGUGAUCUUCUGUUCCCCUCCUGUUCUCCUUCUGGACAGAAUCACCAGCAUAAUUCACACGGACUUCUCCUCUCAUCUCCCACAGGUCGUUAGACUGGAUAUAUUGUAUUGACUUCUGCCUCCAUUAUUCCCCCAGCACUUUCAUUACCACUGUCAGGAAUGGGUUUCAGAAACCACAAAAAAUUUCACGGAAGAGACAGGAAAAGAAACUCUUGAAAGAAUUUCACACCGAAUGGAAAAGUUCCUUCUAGUCGUCUUCGAGUGAACUAGUUCGCAAACAUUAUUCUCUGUAGUCUUCCUGAGAACUCAGACUACUGGUGUGACCCUGCUUGGAAUAUGACUGCUGGAUUCUAGCAAUGUGUUGAUCCUGGCCCCAAGACCCGCCUACGAAAAUGAUUAUUUUAACCCUGAGGACCUAGAUGUGGCCAGUCUUUGUUGGGACCACUGUUGUCAUCGUCAUCGUCACCAUCUAACACCGGCUUUUAUCAAGGGUUGCUCCCUGAGCCUGGAUGCCAAUCAUUCACCUCUCCUUGGCAAAAGUAAUAAAUCAUAGCAAGAAACUGACUGCUUUUGAAGAAUAUAGAAGAUAAAGAAACUGAGUGUUUGAGAACUGGAAGGUGGCAAAAAGCAGCAGGAGGCGAAGAGGAAAAGAUCAAGUGGAAAGAGUCAGCACCAUGUGUACUUUGCUCAGCUCGGAACUUGAACCCUUCUACAGAGAUCACGUCUGUCUGAGCCUCUUGAAUUGCCAACCUUGUGAUAAACAAUAGGUAAACGUAUCCAGGGAGAAACAGGGCAACACCAAGGAGACAACAGGGCCAUAGGACAGGUUCCAGGUACAGCUGAAGGGCCAUCUGGACACCCACUCCCACCCACUUUCGUCAGAGUCACCAAGCACAGUGGGGGGUCGGGAUGGAGCCACAGGCGCUGACAGAGUAGUGACUCCCCCACAACUUCCUCCUUCCUGCCCAGCUCAGCCUGUUUACUCAGCAGACUUGUCUGGUGUAAAGCUCUCAUCUUCCCCACAACCGGCCCCAUUUCUCCACCACCUUCCCAUACCACACAUAGCUGUAUUUCUUAAGGGAGAGAUUUUUCUUUUUACGUUAGCUGUAGACAGCAACCAAAGGUAAAUAACAAUUUGUCUAUAUUUUAUUAUUCGAUUCCUUAAAGAGGUUUCACUUCCUUUCUUGGGAGCAGUGAGCCAAGCAUGAAUAGGUUUUGUGGACACUAAGUCUCAAGUUUGACUGUGACUCCACUUUGGCACUCUACCUGACCUUCUCCGGUAGUGCCAGGCACCUGACUUACCUUAUUAAGUUAAUUAAAGUUUGGCUACUAAUGA